rnacentral:lncRNA from 1 species
UGGUGGAUAUGAACUGUUUUUAAAACAGGCUAUCAAAACAAACCCGGGGAGAACAUCUGUGGGGCCGCGGGCCUGGGAGUCAGGGGGAGGAAGGAAGCCAGGAAGCCGCCAGCCUCGUCAGGUGUCUUCCUGGACGUCCCCGCCCCGGCCAGGGGAGGUGGCCGGAGGCAGAACCUGAGGGAGGGGAAGAUCUGGCGUACAAAGAUAAGGAAGCCAGGAAGCCGCCAGCCUCGUCAGGUGUCUUCCUGGACGUCCCCGCCCCGGCCAGGGCAGAACCUGAGGGAGGGGAAGAUCUGGCGUACAAAGCAAGACCAGAAAUCCCCCCGGGAGAACAAUGGGCACAGGUCCCGUCCGUAGGUCCAGUUGGGAUCUUGGGUACUGUGAGGGCUCAGACACCUCCACCACCUCCUCCUGGCCCGGCUCCCUUCUCCCAGAGGCACAGCCCUACGGGGCUGCAAAGCUGCCUCAUCUCCAGACUCGCCAACCUCCUCUCUCCACGCGUCACCACUCUGCCUUUGACCCCGGAUGCUCUGCCACUGAGUUGGCGUUGCAGCGGCUGGAAUGUGUCCCUGCAAAAGGCAAGCACUGGAAACUUAGUCCUUGGAUGCAACGGAGUCAGGACGCGGGAACUCACGGAGGCCGUUCCUCUUGAGGGCUCUGUCCCCGCGAAUGGCCAGUGCCACAACUGCGGAGUGGGCUUGUUGGAAAAUGGUGAAUUCUGUUUUCUCUCUCUCUCCCUCCACCAUGGCGUGACACGGCGAGAAGGUCCUUGCCAGAGCAGCACUUUGAUUUUGGCCUUCCCAGCCUCCACAACUGUGAGGAAUGCAUUCUCUCCUUUGCAAGUUUCCCGGUCCCUGGCAUCUGUUAUAAUAGUGCAGAACGGACUGAGACACGGUUUCCAUCUGAGAGCGGAGAG